UACGUAGGGCGCAAGCGUUGUCCGGAAUUAUUGGGCGUAAAGAGCUCGUAGGUGGCGUGUCGCGUCUGCCGUGAAAGCCCAUGGCUUAACUGUGGGUCUGCGGUGGAUACGGGCAGGCUGGAGGCUGGUAGGGGCAAGCGGAAUUCCUGGUGUAGCGGUGAAAUGCGCAGAUAUCAGGAGGACCACCGGUGGCGAAGGCGGCUUGCUGGGCCAGUUCUGACGCUGAGGAGCGAAAGCGUGGGGAGCGAACAGG
rnacentral:rRNA from 1 species